CCUGUGUGGUUGAUGGUUGGACUGGUUUGUGGAGUCUCUCUCAUUAUUAUUCUCCUGCUCUUGUUGUAUCGCUGCAGACAGUCCAAGUGUUCCUGCUUCACCAGGUCGAUCCAGUCUGAGAGUCACAGUCCGGGCUCCUCCACA